rnacentral:rRNA from 1 species
CCUACGGGUGGCAGCAGUGAGGAAUAUUGGUCAAUGGCCGUAAGGCUGAACCAGCCAAGUAGCGUGAGGGAAGACUGCCCUAUGGGUUGUAAACCUCUUUUAUGCGGGGAUAAAGGUGUCCACGUGUGGAUGUUUGCAGGUACCGCAUGAAUAAGGACCGGCUAAUUCCGUGCCAGCAGCCGCGGUAAUACGGAAGGUCCGGGCGUUAUCCGGAUUUAUUGGGUUUAAGGGGAGCGUAGGCCGGUCUUUAAGCGUGCCGUAAAAUUUCGGGGCUCAACCCCGUCGUGCCGUUGAAACUGGCGUUCUUGAGUGAGCGAGAAGUAUGCGGAAUGCGGGGUGUAGCGGUGAAAUGCAUAGAUAUCACGCAGAACUCCGAUUGCGAAGGCAGCAUACCGGCGCUCAACUGACGCUCAUGCACGAAAGCGUGGGUAUCGAACAGGAUUAGAUACCCCUGUAGUC